AUACGUAGGGUGCGAGCGUUAUCCGGAAUCAUAGGGCGUAAAGAGCUCGUAGGCGGUUCAGCAAGUCGGCUGUGAAAGUUCGAGGCUCAACCUCGAAAUUGCAGUCGAUACUGCUGUGACUCAAGUCCGGUAGAGGAGAAUGGAAUUCUCGGUGUAGCGGUGAAAUGCGCAGAUAUCGAGAGGAACACCAGUAGCGAAGGCGGUUCUCUGGGCCGGCACUGACGCUGAGGAGCGAAAGCGUGGGGAGCAAACAGGAUUAGAAACCCCGGUAGUCC
rnacentral:rRNA from 1 species